GACGAACGCUGGCGGCGUGCUUAACACAUGCAAGUCGAACGGAAAGGCCCUGCUUUUGUGGGGUGCUCGAGUGGCGAACGGGUGAGUAACACUUGAGUAACCUGCCCUUGACUUUGGGAUAACUUCAUGAAACUUGGGCUAAUACCGGAUAGGAUCUCCUGCUGCUUGGUGGGGGUUGGAAAGUUUCGGCGGUUGGGGAUGUACUCGCGGCUUAUCAGAUUGUUGGUGGGGUAGUGGCUUACCAAGGCUUUGACGGGUAGCAGGCCUGAGAGGGUGACCGGCCAAAUUGGGACUGAGAUACGGCCCAGACUACUACGGGAGGCAGCAGUGGGGAAUAUUGCACAAGGGGAGGAAGCAUGAUGCAGCAAAGCAGCGUGCGGGAUGACGGCCUUCGGGUUGUAAACCGAUUUCGCCUGUGACGAAGCGUGAGUGACGGUAAUGGGUAAAGAAGCACCGGCUAACUACGUG
rnacentral:rRNA from 1 species